GAAGAAAGGUAUACUUCCUCUUUCCAAAAAAACAUUGAGAGACAAGGUGCAUUGUUUCCCCAGAAUCAGACAAGGAAGUGACCUAUGAUUAUCAGAUCUCUGGUUCCUCUUUGUGUUCUGUUUAAACUCACAGCUGUCUCCAGCAGGUCCACAGCCGGACACAAGCUUGUUUUUUUUGGCACACGGACGGACCCAGAGAAGCAGAACAUCCUCUUUAAAGCUCAGCGCUGGGAAGAAUUACCCUCAGUCACUCUCAGACCCAUCUAGAUCUCACUCUCUGACACUCUCUAGUCGUCCACGGUGAUGUUGCGGAACAAGUAGGCCAUGGACUCUCCAUUGUGGAUGCGGCGGAUGGCCUCAGCCAAUAUCAUGCUGACGUCCACAGUCUUGAUUUUGGGACACUGCAGUUUCUGUACUUCAUGGGGGACUGUGUUGGUCACCACCACCUGAGGGGAGAACAAUCACAAAGAUAGCGUUUAGGCUUAAUGAGACAGUUUCCAUUUGAAUUAAAAAGCAGUUUAAAGUGUGCAGUUUCUUGUCAGGCUGAUAUAAAAACGUAUGUGGCACUGGUGACAGUCACAGAUUUGGUUAUGAGUGAUUAAAUCAAUUAAUUAAAACUAGAGCACAAACGUGUGCACUCAUUCGUGAAAGAAAAAUUGAGUUUGACAGAUGCUUAAAGUAGUUUGAAAGAGAGAACAGAAACGGCCUGUAUGUGUUUAUACACAUUGCAUGGAUUUUUUUUUUUUUUUAACAGACAAAUAUAAACACUUUUGAAAUGGAAGUCUAGAAACCGGAGAUGGCUUAAAACUGAUAUUAGAACUUAUUAAUCCACACAGAGAGAUCCAACAUACCAGAUUUUAUAUUUAAGUCAAAAAGCUGCCUGGGAAAGCUAAAUUCAGCUAACCAAUGCCCACCCAGUACAUAUGGGAAACAAACAGGGAUUACAAGUAGUAUGUUCUAAAUUAAACAAAUAUCAUAAACCUUGAAACAUUUUAUAAAAUAAAUACUAAAUUUAAACAGAACUGUUGUGUUUUGAACCCAGGACAGUUUGAAGGAACUGAAAAUAGAAACUAGUAAUUUACAGAAAUGCAACUGCUGCAUAUAAUAAUCCUUUCCUUGUUCUAGGUACAACUAAUUUCAUGCAAUAACAUUUCAUCUGAAAAGCCUUCCAUUAGGAGGAAGUACUUACUUUUACAUUGUGUUUAAAAAGAAUAAAUGAGAACUUAUGAACAA